rnacentral:lncRNA from 1 species
AGUUUUCUCUCUUUCUCUCUCUAAAUUAUCGAGCGUAUUCUUGUGAGUAUACUUUGAGUGUUGCUAUACGGUGCGGGUUUCUGUCAGCACUAUACCGAAAUUCAGUCAGAAGUACGGUUAUUUUGAGGUAAGGGGUAUUAUUUUCUUCUUAAAUGAUAUUUUUUCUUCAAUAUCAUUAUGCCGAAGUAUUGGUGAACUUUUUUAUCAAAUUUGGAACUUGUUGUGUCGGGGUUACUAUUCACGUAUACGGCACUAUUCACGUAUACGACACUAUUCACGAAUACGGCACUAUUCACCGAAAAAUAAAAAUUUUUCUUUUUGUCCAAAAUAUCUAUUCUGGAUACUAGCUUUGAUUGUAUCCAUGUUUUGAUCAUUCUUGAAUUUUACACCAAUAUGAUUAUUUUCGAAGUAUUUUUGGACAUGGGUAAAACAAAGUACGAAUCCUUAAUCCUUAAUCCUUGUCAUUUUGUUUCACUGGAUUCGUUUCUUUAAAAAUGUUUUUCAUCAUCCUCAGUCCUAAAUGGUGAUAUAAAUGAAUAUCUUUGGCCUGUAGUGCAAAGAUGAACGAUUAACUGAUGAAUAUCUUUGGCCUGUAGUGCAAAGAUGAACAGGUGUUGAGAUGAACAUGACCAACUGGUGAUACAAAUGAAUAUCUUUGGCCUGUAGUGCAAAGAUGAUUAAAGAUGUAUAUUGAUUGUUAUUACAGGGAUAAACUAUUGAUGAUGGACUUUUAAACCUUAGAAGACAGUAGAAUUCUUUCUCUACGUGACUCUUCUAAUGGAUUGCUGUUUCCGCUGCAUUUGUUGAUCUAAAACUUGUUGUCUAUUGUAUUCUAUUAGAUUUUUCCCUGUUGAAGACUAACGAUAAUUUGUUGUAUAUUAUCUUAGUCAUAAUAUUCUUUACUGGGCUAGUUGAGCUCACCCUUUUCCUUUUUGUUCCAUUUUUCUUCUCAGGAGGUGAGAACAUAGUAGGAUCGAGUCGGGGUAUGGAGUGAUGGUUAUAGGAAGAUGUUUUAGCUGUCCUUACUAUUUCUGUAAAAUAGUGUAUGAAUAAUUAAUGAGGACUUAUUUGGGUGCG